UGCGGCCCCCCAGCUUGAGCACCCCCGCCUCCCCAUCCUGCUGCCCCGCCCCACGCUGUACCUCUCCCCUGCCCGUGCUUGGGAAUCGCACACUUUUCCUCCAGUCCUCACUGUGGUCAAACACAGAAUCCGAGGCUGAGCAGGAGGAGGCCACCCAUCUUCCCUGUCCACCAGGUGGCCGAGGCAAGGCAGGGGAGGGGAGGGGGGCCUGAGCUGGGAUCUUGCACCACGGGACGUCGGCUGCACCUGCUGGAGAAGCAGCGGAGGGCCCCCCCACCCCCCGGGGAAAGCAGGGUCACCAGUUGCCGUCCAGGGUCCAGGCUGAGACCCGAGGGAGGGAGGCCCGAGUCAGCCAAGCCCAGGGGCCCGCAAGCAGCACUCCUCCCCCUCCUCCUCCUCCUCCCCCUCCCCUCCCUCCUCCCCCUCCUCCUCCUCCUCCUCCUCCUCCCCCCCUCCUCCCCCUCCCCCUCCUCCCCCUCCUCCUUCCCCCCUACUCCCCCUCCCUCUCCUCUCCUCUCCUCACUCUCCCACCUCCCCUCCUCCUCCCCCUCCCCCCCCUCCCCCUCCUCCUUCCCCCCUACUCCCCCUCCCUCUCCUCUCCUCACUCUCCCACCUCCCCUCCCUCCUCCCCCUCCCCCUCCUCCUUCCCCCCUACUCCCCCUCCCUCUCCUCUCCUCACUCUCCCACCUCCCCUCCUCCUCCCCCUCCUCCUCCUCCUCCCCCUCCUCCUCCUCCUCCUCCCCCCUCCUCCUUCCCCCCUACUCCCCCUCCCUCUCCUCUCCUCUCUCUCCUCACUCUCCCACCUCCCCUCCUCCUCCUUCCCCCUCCUCCCCCUCCUCCUCCUUCCCCCCUACUCCCCCUCCCUCUCCUCUCCUCACUCUCCCACCUCCCCUCCUCCUCCCCCCUCCUCCUUCCCCCUCCUCCUCCUCCUCCUCCUCCCCCUCCCCUCCUCCUCCCUUGCCUUCUUGGUGGCAGUGUCGGGAACCUGAGUUCAAGCUCCAGCCACACCCAGCUCCCCGCA
rnacentral:lncRNA from 1 species